rnacentral:tRNA from 1 species
GCCCCUAUAGCUCAGUCGGUAGAGCAGCUUCCUUUUAAGUUGCAGGUCGCAGGUUCAAGUCCUGCUGGGGGCA